UCUUUUACAAUAUAAAUCCUUAAUCAGAACGUUUGUGGCUUUUAUUUUUUUCUCUUUCUCUUUUAAGGGAGUAUACUUUGCUCUCUGUGAAGCCCUUCGACUUAAAGAAAUAGUGAUCUAAGACAAUGUCCUGCCAUCCAGAAGAAUUGUACUAAAAUAAAUUCUGAAGCCAAGACAACAGCAGCAACACCCGCAAACGACAACAACCACAGAGGCUUGGAAAUUAGAUGAACGUAAGAAAGGUCCGCUGAUCAUUGUUCCUCAGGAGGAAUUUUCA
rnacentral:lncRNA from 13 species